rnacentral:rRNA from 1 species
GACGAAGGAUGCAAGCGUUAUCCGGAUUCAUUGGGUUUAAAGGGUGCGUAGGCGGACUUGUAAGUCAGUGGUGAAAUCUCUUUGCUUAACAAAGAAACUGCCAUUGAUACUGCAGGUCUAGAGUAUAGAUGACGUUGGCGGAAUAUGACAUGUAGUGGUGAAAUACUUAGAUAUGUCAUAGAACACCGAUUGCGAAGGCAGCUAACGAAACUAUAACUGACGCUGAGGCACGAAAGUGCGGGGAUCAAACAGGAUUAGAUACCCCCGUAGUCC